rnacentral:rRNA from 1 species
GAUGAACGCUGGCGGUCUGCUUAACACAUGCAAGUCGAACGCAACCUUCGGGUUGAGUGGCGGACGGGUGAGUAACGCGUGAGAAUCUGCCUUGGGGUCGGGGACAACCACUGGAAACGGUGGCUAAUACCGGAUAAGCCUUUGGGUAAAAAAUUUAUUGCCCCAAGAGGAGCUCGCGUCUGAUUAGCUAGUUGGUGAGGUAAAAGCUCACCAAGGCAGCGAUCAGUAGCUGGUCUGAGAGGACGAUCAGCCACACUGGGACUGAGACACGGCCCAGACUCCUACGGGAGGCAGCAGUGGGGAAUUUUCCGCAAUGGGCGAAAGCCUGACGGAGCAAGACCGCGUGAGGGAGGAAGGCUCUUGGGUUGUAAACCUCUUUUCUCAGGGAAGAAGCUCUGACGGUACCUGAGGAAUCAG